ensembl:lncRNA
GAAAAAUGGGACAGUCACACCAGCCACCCCUUCCUCCCCCGCAUUCCAAGAGCAUGACUGUGCACUUUUUCCCUCAUGGUGUUCUUCCUCAAAGCUUCUCGCUCUGAUUGCCUAUUUCUCUCUGUUUAUCUCUUCUUAUUCCUUCUAUAUGCCUAUUUAGACUUGUUAUUGCAUUCAGUUCUUCUACACCUUUCUUUUUUCAGCCAAAGUGGUUAAAGUGAGCAGUAUUUAUGAGCAGGUGGCAAGGAUUUGUGGGGACUGCUUGGAGGCCUCGACAGAAUCCACAUGAUUCCCAGUGCAUGAGAUGGUGCUGAAGGGGAAGCUAAUCCUCACCCUGUCAUCUCCCCCAAAACUUCCACUUCCAGAUGUUUCCUGUAUUGUCACUCAUGUCUGCUUAUACGAGGGCCAAAAGGCUUUAGUAUGAAGUUUACAUUGUCUGAAAUGUCUUCUCUUUGAAUUUUGAAGCUCAUCACUCUGGAAAACAUCAUAAUUAGGGUCUUUUCACCCAUUAGUAGCAUUGGUUUACAUUGUACAACAACCCAUUACACUCUGUUUGGCUAAUAAAAACUGGCGCUUUCUUGGCUUUGGACUGCGGUCUUGCAUCUGUCUCCUCUUCACGAGAUAGAGAAGAAUGCAUACUUUUGUGUGUGACCGAAUAGUUCUUGCAAUCAGAGGCAGGCGUUCAAAAAACAAAGCAAUAAAAUUUGUUCUCUUUUUAAAAGGCCACUUUCAUAAGGAGCUCAAGGCCAAAUCCUCUCUUGAAAGCAAGAAAAUCUUGAUUCCAAAUUAGUUUAACGAGCCUUUUCCUGUUUUAUCAGAGCUUGUUCGUUUUAAGCACAUGCUAUUGUAAUCAUUCUAUUUUUAAGGAUGGUUUGAGGGCCAGGCCAGUACUGGUGGGAGAAGGUCCUAUCACAGGCUGUUAGAUACCAUGUAUCAGAUUUCAUAAACAAGCAAGAACAUUUUUAUCAAUCAUUCCAUUAAAGAGGGCAAGCACUGCACUCGUAUCCAGUUGAAAGAUUCUUUUCAAGGCUAAGACAUUUCCAGGGCGCCAUGCUUGACAGUAUUUCAUCUGUAAUGACAACAUCUUUUACACAAAUGACUCAGAAAAUAAAGCCAC